rnacentral:snRNA from 1 species
CCAGUUACCUGGAGUGGGGGUACCAUUAUCAAGGAGGUGAUUUUCCCAGGGUAAGCCUGCUCCAUUCCUCCAGUUGUGGGAAACUCGACUUCAUGAUUUGUGGUAGCAGUGGUCUCCAUUC